rnacentral:rRNA from 1 species
GUGGGGAAUAUUGGUCAAUGGGCGCGAGCCUGAACCAGCCAAGUAGCGUGCAGGAUGACGGCCCUAUGGGUUGUAAACUGCUUUUAUGCGGGGAUAAAGUGAGGGACGUGUCCCUUUUUGUAGGUACCGCAUGAAUAAGGACCGGCUAAUUCCGUGCCAGCAGCCGCGGUAAUACGGAAGGUCCGGGCGUUAUCCGGAUUUAUUGGGUUUAAAGGGAGCGCAGGCUGAUUGUUAAGCGUGACGUGAAAUGUAGCCGCUCAACGGCUGAACUGCGUCGCGAACUGGCAGUCUUGAGUGAGUACGACGUCAGCGGAAUUCGUGGUGUAGCGGUGAAAUGCUUAGAUAUCACGAAGAACCCCGAUUGCGAAGGCAGCUGACGAGUCCUUUACUGACGCUAAAGCUCGAAGGUGCGGGUAUCGAACAGG